rnacentral:tRNA from 1 species
GCCUGGAUGGCGGAAUGGUAGACGCAGAGGACUUAAAAUCCUCUGACCGUAAGGUCGUAGGGGUUCGAGUCCCCUUCUAGGCACCA